rnacentral:rRNA from 1 species
GGACUACCCGGGUUUCUAAUCCCGUUCGCUCCCCUGGCUUUCGCCCCUCAGCGUCAGUCGCCAGCCAGGACCCUGCCUUCGCCUUCGGUGUUCCUCCGGAUCUCUACGCAUUUCACCGCUCCACCCGGAAUUCCAGGUCCCUCUCUGGCCCUCAAGUCUGGUCGUCUUUCGGCCCCUCUGGUAGUUAAGCCACCAGCUGUCCGCCGAAACGCUCCAGACCGCCUGCAGGCCCUUUACGCCCAGUAACUCCGGACAACGCUCGCCCCCUACGUAUUACCGCGGCGGCUGGCAC